rnacentral:rRNA from 1 species
GAUGAACGCUAGCUACAGGCUUAACACAUGCAAGUCGAGGGGCAGCAUUUCAGUUUGCUUGCAAACUGGAGAUGGCGACCGGCGCACGGGUGAGUAACACGUAUCCAACCUGCCGAUAACUCGGGGAUAGCCUUUCGAAAGAAAGAUUAAUACCCGAUGGUAUAAUCAGACCGCAUGGUCUUGUUAUUAAAGAAUUUCGGUUAUCGAUGGGGAUGCGUUCCAUUAGGCAGUUGGUGAGGUAACGGCUCACCAAACCUUCGAUGGAUAGGGGUUCUGAGAGGAAGGUCCCCCACAUUGGAACUGAGACACGGUCCAAACUCCUACGGGAGGCAGCAGUGAGGAAUAUUGGUCAAUGGGCGCAGGCCUGAACCAGCCAAGUAGCGUGAAGGAUGACUGCCCUAUGGGUUGUAAACUUCUUUUAUAUGGGAAUAAAGUUUUCCACGUGUGGAAUUUUGUAUGUACCAUAUGAAUAAGGAUCGGCUAACUCCGUGCCAGCAGCCGCGGUAAUACGGAGGAUCCGAGCGUUAUCCGGAUUUAUUGGGUUUAAAGGGAGCGUAGGUGGACAGUUAAGUCAGUUGUGAAAGUUUGCGGCUCAACCGUAAAAUUGCAGUUGAUACUGGCUGUCUUGAGUACAGUAGAGGUGGGCGGAAUUCGUGGUGUAGCGGUGAAAUGCUUAGAAAUCACGAAGAACUCCGAUUGCGAAGGCAGCUCACUGGACUGCAACUGACACUGAUGCUCGAAAGUGUGGGUAUCAAACAGGAUUAGAUACCCUGGUAGUCCACACAGUAAACGAUGAAUACUCGCUGUUUGCGAUAUACAGUAAGCGGCCAAGCGAAAGCAUUAAGUAUUCCACCUGGGGAGUACGCCGGCAACGGUGAAACUCAAAGGAAUUGACGGGGGCCCGCACAAGCGGAGGAACAUGUGGUUUAAUUCGAUGAUACGCGAGGAACCUUACCCGGGCUUAAAUUGCAUUUGAAUAUAUUGGAAACAGUAUAGCCGUAAGGCAAAUGUGAAGGUGCUGCAUGGUUGUCGUCAGCUCGUGCCGUGAGGUGUCGGCUUAAGUGCCAUAACGAGCGCAACCCUUAUCUUUAGUUACUAACAGGUCAUGCUGAGGACUCUAGAGAGACUGCCGUCGUAAGAUGUGAGGAAGGUGGGGAUGACGUCAAAUCAGCACGGCCCUUACGUCCGGGGCUACACACGUGUUACAAUGGGGGGUACAGAAGGCAGCUACCUGGUGACAGGAUGCUAAUCCCAAAAGCCUCUCUCAGUUCGGAUCGAAGUCUGCAACCCGACUUCGUGAAGCUGGAUUCGCUAGUAAUCGUGCAUCAGCCAUGGCGCGGUGAAUACGUUCCCGGGCCU